rnacentral:rRNA from 1 species
AGUGAACGCUGGCGGUAGGCCUAACACAUGCAAGUCGAACGGCAGCACAGUAAGAGCUUGCUCUUACGGGUGGCGAGUGGCGGACGGGUGAGGAAUACAUCGGAAUCUACUUUUUCGUGGGGGAUAACGUAGGGAAACUUACGCUAAUACCGAAUACGACCUACGGGUGAAAGCAGGGGAUCUUCGGACCUUGCGCGAUUGUAUGAGCCGAUGUCGGAUUAGCUAGUUGGGGGGGUAAAGGCCCACCAAGGCGACGAUCCGUAGCUGGUCUGAGAGGAUGAUCAGCCACACUGGAACUGAGACACGGUCCAGACUCCUACGGGAGGCAGCAGUGGGGAAUAUUGGACAAAGGGCGCAAGCCUGAUCCAGCCAUACCGCGUGAGUGAAGAAGGCCUUCGGGUUGUAAAACCCUUUUGUUGGGGAAGAAAAGCAGCAGGUUAAUACCCCGCUGUUCUGACGGUACCCAAAGAAUAAGCACCGGCUAACUUCGUG